GCGCGCGUAGCUCAGUGGAUAGAGCAUUUGUCUUCGGAACAAAGGGUCGGGGGUUCGAGCCCCUCCGCGCGCACCA
rnacentral:tRNA from 1 species